rnacentral:lncRNA from 1 species
GGAGCUGCAGAGGCCCGAGGGGCUGCCCUGGUCACACAGCAGGGCUGGGCUGCCCUCUGGGCAACAUCUACAGAGACCUCAUGGAGCCUUCCCUGGACCCGUGGUUGGGGUCAUGGCGCCAUCUUGGAGCCUUCCCUGAACCCGUGGCUGGGGUCAUGGAGCCAUCUUGGAGCCUUCCCUGGACCCGUGGCUGGGGUCAUGGUGUCAUCUUGGAGCCUUCCCCAGACCCCAUGAUUGGGGUCACUUGUUUUCUCCUCUCUCUUCUUGGUUAUCAUGUUUCCACUGAGCACCUGCCACAUUCAGAUGGCGAGGGUGGCCACACCUUAUCCGCCUCCCACAGCUCCAGUGGGGAAGGAGGAUGUCCAGGCAGCAGCAUGACUUUGUGACAACAGCUACAAGGAGAGAGACCUGAACCUCAGAUCUGCCACACACUGUGAAGCCUGGGCAGGUCUCUACCUUUUUGAGCUUCAGUGUCCUGACCAAGAACACAGGUAGCAACAUGUUUCCCAAGGCUGGGAAGCGGUGCUGUUUCAGCAAUUGCUCAUUUUCAGUUCCAGAGACACAAGAUCAAGUGCUACUUCCUAUCAGCUGGAGUCACUGCCCUGCUUGUCACCAUCAUCGUCAUCGUCACCUCUGUUCGAAAGUGAUGCCACCCGUGGUGAGUGCCCUACCUGCACCUACACCAUCCAUUCAUCUGCACAUCCACCAUCUAUUCAUUCACCUAUCCACCAUCCAUCUAACCAUCCACCUCCAUCCAUCUAUCCAUCUACCCAUUUAUCCACCCAUCUACCAUCCCUCUGCCCAUCCAUCCACCCAUCCACCAUCCAUCCAUCUAUCCAUCUGUCACCCAUCCAUCCAUCCACCCGCCACCAUCAAAUCCUUUCGUCCGUCCGCCGUCCAUCCGUCAGUCCGCCCGCAGUCCCGUCAUGCAAUCACUUGCGUCCACCAUCUGUCCGUCCGUCCAUCCG